rnacentral:lncRNA from 1 species
CAAGGGCCAGGAAUCAUGAAAGACAUCUAAAAAUUCUGCCUACUACAGUGACCGGGGUCAUUUAAGGGAUCAUUAAAAGAUGAUAUAAUAAUAUUUACUCUCAAGUGAAAGUGGCUUGGAGCUCUAGAGUUAGUUUAUAUUUAUAGAAACUGUCAAUUCGAUAAGUAACUUUCAGUUUCUGGAAAAGAUUGAGGCCUGAUAUGUUGUAAAGAAUGAAGGAAAGCAGGAAGGAGAGAAGGAAGGAAGAAAGAAAAGAAGGAAGGAGGAAGAAAGGAAAGAAGGAAUAAAGGAAGGGAGGAGGAGGGUAUAUAAAGAAGAAGGAAAGAAAAAGGCAAAAAGAAUAG